rnacentral:rRNA from 1 species
AUGGUCAAUCUGCAACCGCGUGGCGUGGUGUGGAAAGGUGGGGGAGAGAACCUUGUGUACUAUCUGCUACUACUAUGCUCUAUCCAUGUCCUCUCCGCGUGUGCCUGUUGCGACGGUGGGGGGUGGCCAGCGGCUAGCUGGUGUGUAUAUAUAGGACCCGGACGGACCUUGGGGCAUCGAGAAGAGCAGACAAGCACCCAUCAUCAGCCAGCAGAAACCAUCGAUCAAUCGCUCGCCGGACACAGCAUCUAUUCUGCUCGCACACGCACAUACGGAUUCAGUCGAUCGAUAGGUAUAGUGAUGGAGAAUGAGAGGAACAACCAGGCUCCACCCCUACCCCCAGGCUACUACCCAUCCGCGGCUGCGGAGCAACGGCAAGGCGGCGGCGGCAGGAAGGGAUUCAUCCAAGGAUGCCUGGCCGCGCUCUGCUGCUGCUGGAUCUGCGAGAUGUGCUGCGACUAA